CCUACGGGAAGCAGCAGUGGGGAAUAUUGCGCAAUGGGGGGAACCCUGACGCAGCCAUGCCGCGUGAAUGAAGAAGGCCUUCGGGUUGUAAAGUUCUUUCGGUAUUGAGGAAGGUUGGUGUGUUAAUAGCACAUCAAAUUGACGUUAAAUACAGAAGAAGCACCGGCUAACUCCGUGCCAGUAGCCGCGGUAAUACGGAGGGUGCGAGCGUUAAUCGGAAUAACUGGGCGUAAAGGGCACGCAGGCGGGCUUUUAAGUGAGGUGUGAAAUCCCCGGGCUUAACCUGGGAAUUGCAUUUCAGACUGGGAGUCUAGAGUACUUUAGGGAGGGGUAGAAUUCGACGUGUAGCGGUGAAAUGCGUAGAGAUGUGGAGGAAUACCGAAGGCGAAGGCAGCCCCUUGGGAAUGUACUGACGCUCAUGUGCGAAAGCGUGGGGAGCAAACAGGAUUAGAUACCCCAGUAGUC
rnacentral:rRNA from 1 species